rnacentral:rRNA from 1 species
ACACGUGGAUAACCUGCCCUAAGGUGGGGCAUAACCCCGGGAAACUGGGGAUAAUACCCCAUAGGUUAGAGAUGCUGGAAUGCACUUUAACCCAAAGCUCCGGCGCCUUAGGAUGGAUCUGCGGCCGAUUAGGUAGUUGUUGGGGUAAUGGCCCAACAAGCCUGUAAUCGGUACGGGUUGUGGGAGCAAGAGCCCGGAGAUGGACUCUGAGACACGAGUCCAGGCCCUACGGGGCGCAGCAGGCGCGAAAACUUUACAAUGCAGGAAACUGUGAUAAGGGAACCCCGAGUGCCCGUAUACGCGGGCUGUCCAGGUGUUUAAAACGCAUCUGAAGAAAGGGCCGGGCAAGACCGGUGCCAGCCGCCGCGGUAAUACCGGCGGCUCGAGUGGUGGCCACUUUUAUUGGGCUUAAAGCGUCCGUAGCUUGGUUGUUAAGUCUCUUGGGAAAUCUCACGGCUUAACCGUGAGGCGUCUAAGGGAUACUGGCAACCUAGGGACCGGAAGAGGUGAGAGGUACUCCAGGGGUAGGAGUGAAAUCCUGUAAUCCUUGGGGGACCACCUGUGGCGAAGGCGUCUCACCAGGACGGCUCCGACAGUGAGGGACGAAAG